UCCUUUCUUUGUAGCCACCUCAGGGGAAGCAACAGAUCGUCACUCGGUGUUCUCACCGAAAGCACGUAAUCGCCGGUGUAACUCAUGUUGGCUGGGGGGCCUCCCGGCGCGCGGCGAGGCUGGGGUGCGCCCCACGCCACUCGCUUGUGCUCAGCUGCACGGUCCUGGCCCUCAAGUGCGCCGAGGGCGGUGAGAGAGCUCAAAUCCUGCCACCCGUCACUCCCCGGGUGAGGGAUGCCCAGGCUGGGGGUGGCCGGGUGGGAGCUCGUCGCUGCGUGGCCCGUGCGCGGUCCUGGAAUCUAUUCUCCCGGAGGCUCGCGUUCGCACCUCCUUCUUCGCUCUCCCCCUCCCACAGGCUUGCUCUGGAAACCACCUCCGCCUCCGUCUCUGGCCGGACCCCCUUCGGGGCCAGGGUUCGCAGCCGUGGAUGUGCCUGCCUCGUGGCUUGCCCGAUUUGCACGGUGACUUGAUUACACGCUCGCAUUCAUGGUCACUUCCGAAGCGCUUUAGUGCCUUCCGUCCCUAAACCGCCAACAACCAGGGCGGCUUCCCCCGCGGUUUGUCAGGCAUCUGCAGGUCCCGGAAGGGCCUUCGUCUUACCCGGGAUCCACCUCCACUUCAUUCUCCCCGCCGGCCUCCUCACUCCACCCCCUGCCCUUGAAGAACCCCCCCCCCCGUCCUCGUUGCCUGCCGGGGUUCGGAGUCGCCCCGCAGAGCCGGGGCUGUGGGGGCUGCGCCACGGUGCACGGGUCCGCCCGCCUGCCUGGUCUUCUGGAGCUGAGGACUCGGGAAGCCAUGCAGUUGAGGCGAGCCUCGGGCUGCUUUAGGGGCGCUGACAACCGAGGAGCGUUUUCCUAGCGCGAGAGCCAGUGAUGUGCAAGGAGAAACUCAGAGGCUCGGCGCCUUUUCUGCUACUCAUCCCACGGAAGAAACACAAUGCCAAAGGAAAGAGCAAUGUUUCCCACACUCGCGGAACCGUGGGUGACAAGAUCGCCUCGAAAAGGCUAGACUUGAACCAAAGGAUUGAAUGAUCAACGUUUGGGAGAAGUGAAGAAGGGGGCAUAGAGCUGCCAGGCAGGACCGGCAGCUGGGAGGGGCUCAGCCCUGGGGCCUCCCCACACCUAUCUUCUUGGAAGGAGCUGGAUGUCGCUGAAGGAAAGUCGAAAAAUGAAAAAGGAUAACCUUUUCCCUUUCCCCAUCCAGGAAAUAGCCGAAGGAGGCCCUAGAGCCGAACUGAGUCCACCCGGCUCAGGGGAAGACCUGACGGGUGCUAAGGCCACCCUGGAAUGCCAAGUCCGAGUUGUAUUUCUUAAAGAGAUCCAGUGGAUGCGGCUGUGACAUUGGCCCUGGCGACCGGUUUCCCACGAGCUGUUCUUAGGAGCUCCACAAAGCGGAGCCAUCUCCCGAAAGCAGUCUUCAGCAUGUAUUUCCUUUUAUCCUCAACCCGGAGCCCCACGGCAGCUAAUGCAAAAGGCCAAAAAUGUUUUGGAGGAAGAAAAACAAAGGCAGGAAGUGGCGGCGGCCUGACGGUGCGCGUCUGUCUGCGGAGAAGGGAGGGAGCCGUUUCAAUCUCUUCUUGUUGUUUUUCCAAACUUCAAGGUCUAGGCAGCCCUCGCAGGGCCGGGCCCUUUCGUCCCCCAGGCAGCGUUUGGAGAUGGCCACCAGGAGAGGAGAAAGCUGGCGCCCACGCCAGCCUUGUCAGGCGGAAACGGCUAACGAGGCGAUUUGCUCAGCAAAGCAGACCAAGCCUUUGCAAGGCUCCGUUUGAUUUGGCCCUAAAUUGGGGGUGGGAGGGGUUGGGGGGUUCGGUAGCACCUCUCGGAUCCUCCUGCUGGGGCUGAAUGCGCCUUGGUGGAGAUGAUUCCUGCAUCCUAUACUCCACCCACCUUCCCAGGCAAGAUACU